rnacentral:misc_RNA from 1 species
GACGUAGGGGGCGAGCGUUGUCCGGAUUCAUUGGGCGUAAAGCGCGCGUAGGCGGCUCGGUAAGUCGGUUGUGAAAGCCCGGGGCUCAACCCCGGGACUGCGUCCGAAACUGCCGGGCUAGAGGCAGGUAGGGGAGAUCGGAAUUCCUGGUGUAGCGGUGAAAUGCGCAGAUAUCAGGAGGAACACCGGUGGCGAAGGCGGAUCUCUGGGCCUGUCCUGACGCUGAGGCGCGAAAGCUAGGGGAGCGAACAGG